rnacentral:rRNA from 1 species
UUGGGGGAAAGAUUUAUCGGUAUCGGAUUAGCCCGCGUAAGAUUAGAUAGUUGGUGGGGUAAUGGCCUACCAAGUCUACGAUCUUUAGCUGGUUUGAGGAGAUCAGCAGACACACUGGGACUGAGACACGGCCCAGACUCCUAGGGGAGGCAGCAGUGGGAAUCUUAGACAAUGGGCGCAAGCCUGAUCUAGCCAUGCCGCGUGAGGGAAGAAGGCCUUAGGGUCGUAAAACUCUUUCGCCAGAGAUGAUAAUGACAGUAUCUGGUAAAGAAACCCCGGCUAACUCCGUGCCAGCAGCCGCGGUAAUACGGAGGGGGUUAGCGUUGUUCGGAAUUACUGGGCGUAAAGCGCACGUAGGCGGACUGGAAAGUUGGGGGUGAAAUCCCGGGGCUCAACCUCGGAACUGCCUCCAAAACUAUCAGUCUAGAGUUCGAGAGAGGUGAGUGGAAUUCCAAGUGUAGAGGUGAAAUUCGUAGAUAUUUGGAGGAACACCAGUGGCGAAGGCGGCUCACUGGCUCGAUACUGACGCUGAGGUGCGAAAGUGUGGGGAGCAAACAGGAUUAGAUACCCUGGUAGUCCACACCGUAAACGAUGAAUGCCAGUCGUCGGCAAGUAUACUUGUCGGUGACACACCUAACGGAUUAAGCAUUCCGCCUGGGGAGUACGGUCGCAAGAUUAAAACUCAAAGGAAUUGACGGGGGCCCGCACAAGCGGUGGAGCAUGUGGUUUAAUUCGAAG